UACGGAGGAUCCAAGCGUUAUCCGGAUUUAUUGGGUUUAAAGGGUGCGUAGGCGGCUUUUUAAGUCAGGGGUGAAAGACGGUAGCUUAACUAUCGCAGUGCCCUUGAUACUGAAGAGCUUGAAUAUACUUGAGGUAGGCGGAAUGUGACAAGUAGCGGUGAAAUGCAUAGAUAUGUCACAGAACACCAAUUGCGAAGGCAGCUUACUAAGGUAUGAUUGACGCUGAGGCACGAAAGCGUGGGGAGCAAACAGG
rnacentral:rRNA from 1 species